AUUGAACGCUGGCGGCAGGCCUAACACAUGCAAGUCGAACGAGUGGCGGACGGGUGAGUCAUGUCUGGGAAACUGCCUGAUGGCGGGGGAUAACUAGUGGAAACGGUGGCUAAUACCGCAUACCAUCAGAUGUGCCCAGAUGGGAUUAGCUAGUUGGUGGGGUAACGGCUCACCAAGGCGACGAUCCAUAGCUGGUCUGAGAGGAUGACCGGCCACACGGGAACUGAGACACGGUCCAGACUCCUACGGGAGGCAGCAGUGGGGAAUAUUGCGCAAUGGGCGCAAGCCUGAUGCAGCCAUGCCGCGUGAAUGAAGAAGGCCUUCGGGUUGUAAAGUACUGUCAGCGGGGAGGCGUUACCCACAGAAGAAGCACCGGCUAACUCCGUGCCAGCAGCCGCGGUAAUAC
rnacentral:rRNA from 1 species